UACGUAGGGGGCUAGCGUUGUCCGGAAUCAUUGGGCGUAAAGAGCGUGUAGGCGGCCCGGUAAGUCCGCUGUGAAAGUCCAGGGCUCAACCCUGGGAUGCCGGUGGAUACUGUCGGGCUCGAGUCCGGAAGAGGAGUGUGGAAUUCCUGGUGUAGCGGUGAAAUGCGCAGAUAUCAGGAGGAACACCGAUGGCGAAGGCAGGUCUCUGGGCAUUAACUGACGCUGAGGAGCGAAAGCAUGGGGAGCGAACAGG
rnacentral:rRNA from 1 species